rnacentral:rRNA from 1 species
UUCUGGUUGAUCCCGCCGGACCUGACUGCUAUCGGAUUGAUACUAAGCCAUGCGAGUCUUUGUAGUAAUACAAGGCAGACGGCUCAGUGACACGUAGUCAACCUACCCUAUGGACGAGAAUAAUCUCGGGAAACUGAGCAUAAUUCUUGAUAGAUCAUAAUGCCUGGAAUGGUUUAUGGUUAAAAUGAUUCGUCGCCAUAGGAUGGGACUGCGGCCUAUCAGCUUGUUGGUGAGGUAAUGGCCCACCAAGGCGAUUACAGGUACGGGCUCUGAGAGGAGAAGCCCGGAGAUGGGUACUGAGACACGGACCCAGGCCCUAUGGGGCGCAGCAGGCGAGAAAACUUUGCAAUGUGCGAAGGCAUGACAAGGUUAAUCCGAGUGAUUUCUGCUAAAGAAAUCUUUUGCCAGUCGUAAAACCGCUGGUGAAUAAGGGGUGGGCAAGUUCUGGUGCCAGCAGCCGCAGUAAU